rnacentral:rRNA from 1 species
AGUGAACGCUGGCGGUAGGCCUAACACAUGCAAGUCGAACGGCAGCACAGUAAGAGCUUGCUCUUACGGGUGGCGAGUGGCGGACGGGUGAGGAAUACAUCGGAAUCUACUUUUUCGUGGGGGAUAACGUAGGGAAACUUACGCUAAUACCGCAUACGACCUACGGGUGAAAGCAGGGGAUCUUCGGACCUUGCGCGAUUGAAUGAGCCGAUGUCGGAUUAGCUAGUUGGCGGGGUAAAGGCCCACCAAGGCGACGAUCCGUAGCUGGUCUGAGAGGAUGAUCAGCCACACUGGAACUGAGACACGGCCCAGACUCCUACGGGAGGCAGCAGUGGGGAAUAUUGGACAAUGGGCACAGGCCUGAUCCAGCCAUACCGCAUGGGUGAAGAAGGCCUUCGGGUUGUAAAGCCCUUUUGCUGGGAAAGAAAAGCAGCAGGUUAAUACCCCGCUGUUCUGACGGUACCCAAAGAAUAAGCACCGGCUAAGUUCGUG